rnacentral:lncRNA from 1 species
CAGGCCUUUCUUUGGCUGAAUAUAUUCCAUUGUUGGGUAGAUCACAUUUUGUGGAUCCAUUCAACUGUUGAUGGACACUUGGGUUGUUUGGAUUUAGGGGAGAUCAUGGUUUGUGCUGCUGUGGACACUGCUACACAAACAGUUCCAUUUUACAGAUGAAGACACCAAGGCUGAUAGCCAGUGGGCGAGAUCACUGACCUUUGAGUGGGCACUUUCUGCCUCCUCGCCUGCCAUCUGUCUCAGAGGCUCGGAUGGCAGCAUUGCUCUAGCUUCCGAGAGCACCUCCCACGCCAGAGGCCUGCCCCCAGCCCUCGACUCCUCUCCACCUUCGGAGGAAGCUCCAGCCAAGACAAACUGCUCAGCCAGCACUUCGGGACAACCCGACUGCUGUUGGGCAACAUGGCAACAUGGUCGUCCCACCGAACCCAACACGACAGCGAACGUGAAGAGCUAUGACCGCCUCAGCCAACCCGGAGAGAUGCCCCGCACCCAACGUGAACUGGAAGCAGCUACAGAAGGAUAAAUCCAGGGGGAAGCUCUUCAUUAGAUGUACGGAAGCACACAAAACGAUACGAGGUAGCCCCUGGACUCUGCCGGACACAGAGGCCGAGUGAAAGAUGCGAAGGCUCCUAGGAGACACCUGGCCAAGAGUGAAAGAAGGGGAGGAAACCGAGGGUAAGAUCUGGGGGGGAGUCCCUGCCUCAGCCCUACUCUGUGGCAGCUCUCAG